rnacentral:rRNA from 2 species
CGAUAGCGAAGAGGUCACACCCGUUCCCAUGCCGAACACGGAAGUUAAGCUCUUCAGCGCCGAUGGUAGUCGGGGGUUUCCCCCUGUGAGAGUAGGACGCCGCCAAGC